UACGAAGGGGGCUAGCGUUGCUCGGAAUCACUGGGCGUAAAGGGUGCGUAGGCGGGUCUUUAAGCCAGAGGUGAAAUCCUGGAGCUCAACUCCAGAACUGCCUUUGAUACUGAGGAUCUUGAGUUCGGGAGAGGUGAGUGGAACUGCGAGUGUAGAGGUGAAAUUCGUAGAUAUUCGCAAGAACACCAGUGGCGAAGGCGGCUCACUGGCCCGAUACUGACGCUGAGGCACGAAAGCGUGGGGAGCAAACAGGAU
rnacentral:rRNA from 1 species